UACGCAUGGGGCAAGCGUUAUCCGGAUUUACUGGGUGUAAAGGGAGCGCAGGCGGCCUGGCAAGCCUGAUGUGAAAUACCGGGGCCCAACCCCGGGGCUGCAUUGGGAACUGCCAGGCUGGAGUGCCGGAGAGGCAGGCGGAAUUCCUAGUGUAGCGGUGAAAUGCGUAGAUAUUAGGAGGAACACCAGUGGCGAAGGCGGCCUGCUGGACGGUGACUGACGCUGAGGCUCGAAAGCGUGGGGAGCAAACAGG
rnacentral:rRNA from 1 species